CCCAGACUCCUACGGGAGGCAGCAGUGGGGGAUAUUGCACAAUGGGGGGAACCCUGAUGCAGCGACGCCGCGUGGGUGAAGGAGUAUUUCGGUAUGUAAAGCCCUAUCAGCAGGGAAGAACAAUGACGGUACCUGACUAAGAAGCACCGGCUAAAUACGUGCCAGCAGCCGCGGUAAUACGUAUGGUGCAAGCGUUAUCCGGAUUUACUGGGUGUAAAGGGAGCGUAGACGGCAGUGCAAGUCCGGAGUGAAAGCCCGGGGCUCAACCCUGGGACUGCUCUGGAAACUGUAAAGCUGGAGUGCGGGAGGGGCAGGCGGAAUUCCUGGUGUAGCGGUGAAAUGCGUAGAUAUCAGGAGGAACACCGGCGGCGAAGGCGGCCUGCUGGACCGUAACUGACGUUGAGGCUCGAAAGCGUGGGGAGCAAACAGGAUUAGAUACCCGAGUA
rnacentral:rRNA from 1 species